rnacentral:rRNA from 1 species
UACGUAGGGGGCUAGCGUUGUCCGGAUUUAUUGGGCGUAAAGAGCGUGUAGGCGGCCAGGUAGGUCUGCUGUGAAAACUCGAGGCUUAACCUCGAGAUGUCGGUGGAAACCAUCUGGCUAGAGUCCGGAAGAGGAGAGUGGAAUUCCUGGUGUAGCGGUGAAAUGCGCAGAUAUCAGGAAGAACACCCGUGGCGAAGGCGGCUCUCUGGGACGGUACUGACGCUGAGACGCGAAGCGUGGGGGAGCGAACAGG